AUGAAUGAAUGAAUAUGAAUCACCCAGGCCGGCCUAGGUAACUUAGUGAGACUGUCUCAAAAUGAAAUCGGGGGAAAAUGGGGGUGUGGCUCAUGGGAGAGCAUUCACCUAGCAUGUGUGUAGGGUCCUGGAUUUAGUCCCUGCUAUGUCAAACUGAAAUGGCCAGAAGCAGUCGCUCUGCCUAGUGUGACGUCCUGUUUUUGGAUUUUGUUUUAUCUUCACUUUUCCUUUUGUGGCACCGAGGAUUAAACCCAGAGGGACGCACAUGCUAGGAACGUGCUCUACCCCUGGCAUAGAUGAUAGCACGUCUUUUGGUCAGUGUGCAGACUUACCUAACCCACGCUUCUUUCUCCCGUCUUCUAUGUGGAAUGUGGCCAUGGAAAUGAAGGGUAUUUGGCGUUCGUAAGAAAUCAAACUCUUUAAAGAAAAUUAAAUCUUUUUGCUCCCAGGGUCCACCGGUAUCAAGAAUUGGGGGAUGUUGUAGGGGAAGGGAGGCCCUUUUACCUUUUUUUUUUUUUUUUUUUUUUUUUUUUUUUUUUUUGGUUCUUUUUUUCGGAGCUGGGGACCAAACCCAGGGCCUUGCGCUUCCUAGGCAAGCGCUCUACCACUGAGCUAAAUCCCCAACCCCCCCUCUUACCUUUAAUGCUCCUUGGCAAUGCACCAAGGACCAAGCACUCCCUGGGAAAUCCAAUCUGGGGGUUGAGUCCUGGCAGGAUUUAGACUCAAACAAGAGCAUCAUUCAAGCUAACGAGGGCUGGAACAAGUAACAUCACUGUGAGGAUCUGACUACCGAGCGUGCAUAUUAAUCAGAUUAACUCGUUUCUUGCUUUUGCUGUUGUGGCAAUCGAACUGAGGACAAGGCUGGCUACCCAUUGUGACUUCUACAGAGGAAACUACAACCUACAUAUGGCCUUUAGUGACCUCCGGCUCCCUCCAAGGCUGUUUAAUAAAAACCAUGGUUUGACCGGCAAUAGAAUGAUCCAAAUAAGAAACAUCCUUUCAUUCUAUCUCCCAACAAAAUGAACACAGACCAAGAGAUGGAGAGUGUAUACAAGCACAUCCCGUGAUUACAUGGAGAGACGAGGAGACGAGAGCUCUAAGACCAAAACUGCCGCUGCUACUGAUGAGACGAGGGGCUGAGAGCAGCGUCCAGAGGCACAGAGCAUCUGCUUCUGACAGACGGGGGUCUGAAUGCUGCUCUUCUCCAGAGCGGACAGAAACUCAGUGAAAUCCGACUGUUGGCACGUGAGGAAAAGUAAGUGGACACACUCCUUUGCUUACAGGGGCACGCUCUUCCUUUCAGUUGAUAAUCAACAACACACGCUCAACCACCUUUAACGACAGCAUAGGACACGGGCCUAAUUUUCCUGAGAGUUAAGCGAGACCUGCUAAUAAACAGGCUAUGAAGCUGACCCGAGUGACUGGAACCUCCAAACUCAGACAUGGCGCUUCAGCCCCACUAGCUAAGUCUCGGCCGUUAGAGCAAAGGUGCCUCUGUCAGCCACAUGCUUGGUCACACAGCCUUGGAACUGUCAGGCACUAGAAAAAAGUGCCGUCUAUUGUGCGAAUUCGAUGGCCGCCGAGGAGCGGGCAGCACUGAGGGUAAGGGGUAAUACCACAGAAAGCCACAGGCUCUGCCGCCCUGGAGAGAGAGCAGCAAGGGCCAUGUGGGCUGACCAGCUCUGCUCCCAUCUGCUGAGGACUGCCGGAAGCUGCAAAGCUCUUCACACACAAGACAGACAGCACCUUGAGUGGAACCUAUGGAGAGCCACCAGAUGUGAGUGUUGGCUACGGCAGGAAUGGCUACUGCUCCCUUGAUGUUAACUCCUCGUCUGAGUGUAAGAAUCUGGACGGUAUCUGUUAGGUAAAACUGGGCUUCGUGGCCAUCUUCUAACCUACUAACAUUUGCAGGCUUCUCCAGGUCACUCACGAGUGACAUCGUUAAAUAGCACAGGGAAGAAUAUGGCCUGGCUUUAAGCCACACUCUCUCCAUUUGCUGUGUAAUCUAAUACAAGGCACUUGAAGAACUGGUGCCUCGGUGUACGAACACGUGACGUGGUAAUGUGUUCACUUACCUCAGGAAGCGGAUACACAGACGGCUGGGCGCUCCAAGCGGACGGGACAGCACGGUGGAAACAUCUACAGCCCAGAAAAACCCCAGUGCCUCAGUGUCCACUUCCUGUGCCCGAGUCACCAUGCUUUCCUUUCCUUUCCAUAGUAAAUGUUAGCGGCGGCCCACUCCUUCACAUGUGUUAGCUGUUUGGCACACAGAUAUUUAUAUAUUUCAAGUCAUCAUGUUCUCUAGUCCAAAGCUGUUUCUUAAUUUUCUAAUACAGAGAAUCCAAUAAACACAAAUGUGGAGUCCCUGUGCUGAGAACAUUUAACUUUCUCUGAAGUAUAUGAGAUAUCAUUAAAAAAAAAAAUUGAACUAGUGCUGUGUGAAACCAUGUUUUUAAUGAAAAAUAAAACAAAAAAAAAACCAAAACAAAAAAAAAAACCCCAAAAAACCAAAAAAACAAAAACAAAAAAACAAAACCCAACCCCCCAGACCCCCUGAAAUUACGCCACAGGAUCAGCUACUCAUUUACAAAGAUGGAGUUUUGAGAAAAAGGAGCCUCAACAUGAUACAGAGUAGAUGUGGCAAAAGAGACAUUAAGCAUGUUUCCUGCACUGAAGUAAGUAGGGAUGAUAAAUUAUAAGUACAGUAGUUCAAAUAUUGCUUUUUAGCAUUAGCUUUUCAAAACAAGUUAAAUUUAGGACAUUUAAAAUCUGCUAUACUCUUCUUUCAAAGGAACUGUGGGCACAGAAGCCUUUGCAGAAUCGAGAAGCCACGAUGCCCCCUUGUAGUCUUUGCAGAGUGGACUGGCCUUCAGGCACGUCAGCGCUGUAACGCCUUUUGGUUAAUACGUUACGUUAGGCUCCUCUGGAGAACUGGGUUGUGAUGGCUGCCUUCAUGCAGUUCACCUAAGCCCACCACACUCCACUCUGGUGAUUCUCUGCAGGGGCUCUGCUAGACUCAAUCAAAAUGACAGAAACAUAAAUAACUCCUUUAGAACUGAAAAUGUGGUUUUUUUCUCUUUUAAAAAUAAAAUAAAGUGCUUUUAAAUUAAAAUAUUUCUUGCCCUUAACAAAACCGGAACCUUGGAAUCUCCAUGUCUUGACACAUUUUUUAACAGAAAAGUUUUGGGCCAUUCAUAUCCGUCCAGAGUUCAGAUUGAAUCUAGGCUGGUCUUUGCCUCGCUGUCAUGCUCGUGCUUGUACAUGAAUGUUAAAAGAAAAAGAGCGACAUCCAAGGAUGACCAAUAGGCAGUGUGCGACGUGACGGCUGACCAAUAGCGGCUCUCCACAAGGCCUUCUCUGAGUUCGAAGUCGAUCCUGUGCUCCAGUUCCACUGCCAAGACAAGAGUUAAGUGACGGUUACCGUGUGUUUGGUGCAGGCGGGAGACAGCGGGGUGAAAAACCUAGUCAAGGGAGUGACUUAAGCUGUCACAUUCUUCACUCUCAACUUAUGGGACACUGGGAAAGCCAAAGCAGCCAGGGUCCUACUGUGCAGUCUGUCCCUGCGCCCAAGUCAGCAAAGAAUAGGAAGGAAAGAAAGUCAAAUCAGUUUGCUUGCUAUUGUGGCAUAUUUUUUGGAGUUCAAAAAAGGGGGCUCCAUUUAAGUCUUAGAUGGCUGUUUCUUAUCUGUCUUCCUUGAAGACUGCACUUCCGGGGAAGUGGGUAGGGCCUCCUCAGUUAGGGAGGCCCUACAGAAGACUCGCUUCUGUGAGGAUAUGUUCCACAGCAAUCACGUUUUAGUGUUUAGAUUAUACCCAUUAUUACCUCACAGCCCAACAGCAUUCCUCCCCUCAUAAGGCCGACUCCCUUAAUGGCACCCCUCCCCAAGUCUGCAUUUAUCAAGUGGGCGCUAGCCUGUGCCCAGGACAUUGACGUAUUCAAAAGAAUCCACUGUGUAACUGGAACAGUUAAACUGAGGAAGAGCCUGUGGCGGGAAGGGCUUUACCUAUAAUUUGCUGCCCUCCAACAAUUCCGUGAAUCCAAUUACGACUUUCCAAAACCUACAAAGAGUCCUUGCAAUACUGGAGAGAAAUGAACAGCUCAAGGCUCUCAUCAAAUCUCAACGGGUUAACGUAAUGGAUCCUCAGAAAAACACACUUGGAAAAUGACAGUAAUGACAGCAGACCUGGCCUGGCAACCUGUUUGAUUCCUGGAACCCACAUAAAGGCUGAAUGAGGGAACCAAGUCCACAAGGUGUCGUCUGGCUCAUAUAUAUGGAAUUUACUGCAAACACACACACAAUACAUAAUGUUUAAAAAAUGGCAUUAUGCUACUCAGGCUCUCUUUUAAAACUGUCCACGAGCCAUCUGAUAUUGCACAAGAUCUCUCAUGGCCCUACUGGAUACUAAUUAAUCUGUUUGUUCACUUCAAAGACGUCAAAAGUAAAAGGCGGAGUUAUACAUAAGGAGUACCGCUCUAGAAAAUGAUCCUAAACAAAUGCUCUGUUAAUGGCAGCUUCACAGGGCUCCGGUUUGUGAGCGUACGUACGUGUCUGCCUAGGGAAGCGUUCAGAAGAGGCAGAAUGCUAGGCUAUCAAACACUUGUAGGGACCACCGACACAGCACCUUUUACAAAGGUCUUCUAACUCUAAGCUUUUCAUUUAAGUCAGUCAGAAAUUUGCUGAAAUCCACGUGCAUUUACGUAGAACACCUUUAUCUGUUAUUUUAGUAGGCCGUGGGCCUUCGCAUGAGACUUGAAGGCACAGUGACCCACAAAGACCAGGCUAUGAAGAUGAGAAAACUGAAUUCACAAACAUGAUGAAGAAUCAUCAAGAUGAAGCAGGUUACAAGAAAGAGAAGAGGCAGGCACGUGGCCGUGAGGAUUCACUCUAACGCUGCGGCAUGUACCGCUCUAGUCCAGAACUCUGCUGCUGAAACUCUUUUAAAGUCAAAGGGACACUUUUUCUUCUAAGAAGGUCCUGACAUUUGUUCUUGACAAGCUAUGACUGGACUGUCCUAAAUGACUGUCAUCAUGCAGCUGCUCUACUCUGUUAUGUGAUCUUGCCACACUCGUCCACCUCUAGCCAGCUUUCCCCAACCAACUUGCUGAUUCUCCCACCUCCCUCUGGGCCCUCAGAGCAGCCACUGCACAUCUUGCUGGCUCGGAAGGAAGGAAGGUCAGGGUGAGUUGAGUGGGCUGUGUCCCCGUCCUCUCUUCAUGUGGCUCACAGACUCUCAAGGGAGAGGUUCUACUUGGCAGCCCCGCUGCACGGCUGUACAACGUGCUUGUGGUCAAAGCAGGCUCUGAUGCACGUGUACCGACUGUCCUGUUACUAUCACUCCAGGCCUUGCUGGGACUGCAGAGGGUGAUGGAUUCUCCUAGUUUCUCUAGCCCACUGGGAUCAUGGGGGAAGGAGAAAAUAAAAUCACCUUUUCUUUUUUCAUGCUUCAGGUAGCUAAAUGUAAAAUGUCUUAAAAUGUAAAACAGAAAGACCUUUGUUCCUGGGCAGGUGGAGAGGAAGAGUGAGAAAGCAGCUGUGCUGUAACACAGACGCGUGCACGCACGCACACACGCACGCGCACCUUCAGGCUGCACGGUGCCCUGGGAGUCAGUUCUCCAGGGCUGGCCUUUGGUUGGUUAUUUUAGACAGUGUCUCUCACAGGUUAGGUCAGCCUGGCCAGAGAGGCCCAGGGAUUCGAUCCCACUUCCCCAGCCCCAGUGGCAUUACAGGUGUACCCUGCAGUGCCCAGCUUUUUGGAAAGUGUGUUUUGAGGUUUGAACUCAGGUUCUCUUAUAAGCACUUUACCGACUGAGCUAUUUCUCUAGUCUAAUACGAAUUAUUUUAAUGGAAAUGUUUGUCUAUGACUACCAAUUGAAGAUAUCCUUAUAUCAGAUAAUUUCUGGAGGGGAAUCCACUGAGUUAGGCCACUCUAAACUCUGCUCUGGAGGUAAAAACGGAGUCAGCUUGUUACCCUCAGUUGCCGUUUAGGAACUAUAUUAGUAGUAUGUUUGCUUGAUAACUGAAAAAGAUGCAUAAAAAUUUAAAGGUGGCUAAAAUAACAAAGAAAACCCUGAACACAUUUUUAAAUAGCAAAGAUAGAAUUCACUAUCAAAAAGAAAAACACCAAAGAGAAACUAUAGAAGAAAUGAGAAGUUAGUAGGAAAAGUAAUUUUAAAUUGUUAAGAUUAGUCUUUAGUGACAGAUUCAGGAUAUGCUGGGAAGGAAGACUGGGAAUACCUUUGCACCAGUAUCACUACGUUAAAAAUCCACCCCCACCCCCGUGAGGGACACUGCAUACUGUGUGGAAUGACCUGACGCUAUGGCGGACCCCAGCCCAGGUGCGGACGGCAGACAUUAGCAGUGUGGGUGAUGGGGUUCUCUGUGGCAGGGAACUGUAUGGCUAAGUACAGACAUGAAAGGAACCGUUAGCCUGAGGCCUGAGGACAGUACAGCAGACAGACACAGGCCUACGCCCUCUCCUCUCUCAAGUCCUUCUUCUGUAGGAACGCUGUGUUUCAGCAUCUGACUUGGGCAUGAACUCUAGCAUUGUGAGGAGCACAGAGUCUGCAGUGGGAGCACUGAGGCAGCCCUCAGAGGAGCCGAUCCCAUUUCUCCCUGAGUGGAUCUCUAGGGAGAGCAUUUUCAGGGUACUGAGCCACUCCUGACAUAUACCAUACCGAGGCUAUCAUCUUUACUCUGCAUUACAUUUUCCGGAAAAAGAAGUUGUGGGAGAUAAAAGAACGAUUCUUGAAGUCUGAAAUCUGUGAAGAAAAACAAACAAGACGCUGUAAAGGCAAGGCUGCUAGUUACAAACGGCCUUCAGUGUCGCAGUGACCAAUCGUUAAGAGCCACAUUCCAAAUAAGCUGAUUAAGCCCAGCACACAGAGAGAGGAGCUCACCUCUAGGCUUCUGUCAAGGGCUCCUUCAUGGAAAUAGGAGCUCAGUUCAAUCCUCAAAUGGAAUGUCAGAGUCUGGUAAUAGCUCAGAUACUCCUCACACUAAGUGCUAAUUCAUGUUGUAACCUAGAGGCCAAAAACCAAACCAAACAAAAAACAAACAACCCCACACCCCAACCCAAAACAAAAAAAACACCUAGCAGGAACACAAGAAAUGAAAUCAUAAAAUGCUUUAGGAUAAGCCAGAUCUUUUCAGAAGAAAUUAAGAACCGCUAUGUAAGAUGUGUCAAGUGGAUGAAAAUAAAGGACACCUGACAGGAUUUAUUCUUCAGAGAGAAGACAAGAUUGAUCACAAAUUCAGGCUGUGUCCUCCUUACCCUCAGAUAAUGAGACUCAGAGACAGUGGCUUCAGAAGGGAGGCUGUCCGGAAGAGCUGAGGCAGUGUGAGAAGGGAGCAGGAGGGAGGAGGCCCAGGCACCUGAUCACAACAGCCAGAUUCCACAAAGAUUUAAGGAAGAGAGAGUUUCAGGAUUGCAAGAUAGCAAUUAUGGCAUAAAAGUCAGGAUUACACAGAAGAAUUCACUACUGAGGCAAGUCCAAGAAUCAGGAGUCCCUGUCUAGAGGUGACUAUAUGAAAUAGAGACUCAUGAUUAUCUCAGACGUAGCUGAGACCACAGGUGAAAUUUAACAUGAAGACUGGCAAAGCUUUAACAUGCAAGCAUGACACAACAUGACUGGGUGUAGUCAAGCAGGAUCAGAGGCUGCAUGGACGGUACACGCUAGGGUCUGGGUCUGAGGGUACCUGUGUGAUGAUUUCUGUUUUCUACAUUUAGAGCAGUACCUAGAACAGAACGGAGUCUCUCUGCUCAGAUUCUAUAUGUGUUCACUCCUUUUUCUGGGGGUCACUGUUUCUGGGAACGUCUGGCCCCAGUGUGCACCCUCCCAUUCCCCAGCAUCACGGCCAUGCACUGAUAAGAUCAUGAAGAACCCUAACUUAGUGCCAUGUGACAAAUUUCCACCAAAAUAAUUUUUUUCAGAAGUUAACUAUUUUGAUUACUGCAUGACACUAAAGUUCAUACAUUUAUAAUCAUGUUUCUAACUAAAAAUAAGAAAAAAAUCACUAAGAACUCAGAAGAAAAGUGAGCUUUACACAAAUACCAACAUCUAAAAAGAAUUGUUUACACAUGGCCCUAAUGACUUGCAAACACAGUUUGAGCACUGGAAAGGACUGACAGAUGCUGUUGCCCACGUAAGGAUGCCAGCCCCGCCCACUGCCUGUUCCCCCUGGGGUGCACUGAGUGUGCACAGGCUGGGCAGCCUCUUGGGUGCCACUCAGAGCAGUCUGCUUGCUGGACAUUUCAAAAUUCAGGGUGGCAGACACAAUAAGAACACAGAGCUCCCAGUAACUGCAAUGGAGUCUGUUAAAAGGGUUGGAGGAGUCCCUCUCUUGUCAGCUUCACAAAGGGAGUGGGUACUUUAGCAUUUGUCUCUCCUUACCAUAGAUGGGAAGACACAAAGUGUCAGUGCUAUUACUGGACACUUAAAAGUUCACAGACAAACCAGUGUUUUACAGUUAUGUACAGUUUAAUUUUAAAAAAAUUAAAGUCUACUGGGAAAAAAGUCCACCUUAAUGCUUCCUGUACCUACUCAUAGAACCCCCUGUUAUCCAUUGGUAACCAGGGCAGGAACAGAAGACAGAGUGGGACCCAAUAGAAUGCCUUGCCUUGGAGGGCUUAUAAAGCUGCAUAGGAGAGUGUGGUUAGCUGCAUAGGAGUGUGUGGUUAGCUGCAUAGGAGAGUGUGGUUAGCUGCAUAGGAGUGUGUGGUUAGCUGCAUAGGAGUGUGUGGUUAGCUGCAUAGGAGAGUGUGGUUAGCUGCAUAGGAGAGUAUGGUUAGCUGCAUAGGAGAGUGUGGUUAGCUGCAUAGGAGUGUGUGGUUAGCUGCAGGACAGAGCAGAUUGUCAGAGAGAGGACACAUCAAUAGUGACACGAAACUUAAAGACGUAUUAAUAAAAUUGUACUUUGUAGAAGCUAGGGGGCCUACCCUAGCGUCUUGUGACCCUUGUGCCAGAGAGUCCUAAUCUAGCAACUUGCCAAUGCAGACACUAAAACUACACUUGCCUGGAAAAUAUUCUUUUUUUAAAAUUAAUUUACUUAUGCCUAGAAAACAUUCUUUCUUUUUUUUUUCUUUUUCGGAGCUGGGGACCGAACCCAGGGCCUUGCGCUUGCUAGGCAAGCGCUCUACCACUGAGCUAAAUCCCCAACCCCCCUAGAAAACAUUCUUAAAACACAUUACCUUUUCUUUAAAAUGCCUAAGACCUGUGUGGAUCACAGGGUUCCUGCUCUGCCCGCCCUCCCCAUCCCUCCCGAGCUGGAGAUAAAGCAGGGAGCUGAAGCAGAGGACUGUGGGACUAACAUGCAGAGUCGAGGAAGCCGGAGCUGCUGUGCGGCAGGGUCUGCGUGGCCACGGUGGUGGUGGAGGGUGAAGAGACAGGCUUCUUCUCCUCUUCCGCUGAGUCCUUAGAUGGCUCCGACGGCUGUGGUGUGGAGGACCGUCCGAACCUUGAGAACAACAUUCCUCCAAGCCCCUUUCCAAUGCUAGCAGCCCCUGCAUGGCACAAAACAGGGCCGUCGGUCACUCAGCUGACUGAGCUCUCUGCUGACUCUGCUCACGGCACCCUGGAGGGCACCACCCAGAAUUACAGCCGACUGCAGAGGGACUCAGCCCUACUCACUCUUCCCCAGGGUGGGGACCUAAAAAUACUCCAAUUUUACUGUAGAUUUCAAGUAAGAAUGAUGUUUAAAAGAAGUGAAGUAUAAAUUCUAAAACUACAGAUAGAGGAAUAUACAACAAAGGCAACCAAGGUGUUAUUUUAUCCCAAUCUUCAUUAUAAUGAAGUAUAUGGCAAGAUUAAACAUAUUUAACAAAAGACCCAUGCUGUUGACAUGGGGACUCUACCUACUAUUAAUGGGUAUACGUCUUACUAAAUUUAUGCUAUAAAAAGCCACUAGUAACCUUUGCACAUGACAUCAACUAGCAAGCAAGUCUGAUAGCUCAGGCCUACUUAGAGUGCCAUCUUGUGGCACUUAUAAAGAGGACACUGUCAGAAACAAAGGGCAAAUUCAAGUGCUAUGCUGGCACAGAAAGUUACUCGAGGAGAGACGAAUAUCCCUAUUGCCUAGGGAAGCAAAAGGACUAAAGAAUUUCACUUUGAGAGGACAUCGGAGUCCUUGAUGCUCCCAGAAUGCAGAAGAGCAAUAAAACAGCAGUUUUAGGAUCCCUCAGCAAGUCACAGAGCCAAGACUGUAAGGAGCAACAGAAUGUCCUUUCUUUUCCAUCAGUCUAGUCAGAGGAUGUCAGAGAAUCUGCUUCAGUCAGCAGGGAAGCUCAUGCAGAAGGGGUGACAGGUAAGGAAUGAGCAACGUACCCAGUAUGCUCGCUUUGCCAAUGUUAGUUAUGGAUUCCCCAUAGUGGCGCCGAGAUAAGACUGGGGAGGUUACAGGGCUCGGGAUAGCUGCGAUGUUCUCACUCUCUGAAGCUGAGGUAGGCUCUUUUGCUGGGUUGAGAAAGUUUGGCUUCAUAUGCUCAUAAGGUAGAGGGUUCGAAGUGUUGUACCAGUGGAUCUGGACUGGAGAAAUGUUGCUGUAGUGUUUCAGAAUCAAUGGCUCUAAUCUGUAGGCCUAGAUUUUUAAAAAUGCAAAGAAACAUGACAUUAAUUCACAAUUUCUGGAUUUUAGUAAAAUGUUUAUCCCUAAAGCUGUUGAAUAAAAAUCUUAGAGCAAGAAUUUUAAAAAUGGCUAUUUGAAAAACAUUUCUGUUAAUAUAUGAGGCUGUCUAAUUACACGUCCCUAAUAAUGAGAGUAUGAAAACAAAAGAAAAAUAACAAAAACUGAGUUAGCUUUGACUGCCAGUGUCUACUAACUCAUUUUCAGAGAAAAAGACUGUUUUACUAAUUCUGACAUGAUCUAACAGGACUUUUGUCAGACUCACAAAGCUGAAGUGGAUGACGGCCCAGACCUUAUUACACUUGAUUUCAAACACGUGACUCCAGCAAGAGUCUAACUUGAAAGCCAAGGAAGGGAAGCAUCUAGCAAGUCAACUGUUAGUAGUGGUGUGGUUCAGAUUCUCACCUGUCACCAACCCACGGCCAUUUGUUAUGUCACAAAGCUCUCAGCGCUGUCUUAGAGGAAAGGAGAGCAAGUCUGUAAAACCUGGCUGAUGCAGGUCUGCACAAGGCAUUACGAGAGCAUUAGGAUAAAGCAGAGCAGCUUGGCAAGACGCCCGCCUAGGACGUGUGAAACUCUGGGUUCGAAUCCCAGCACCAGACACAGAAAGAUGAAUUUGAGAUGUUCAAAGAAGACAGAACUCCUGGGUGAAGCGAAACACAGCCAUGCUGGUCACACAGCCAUGCUGGUCACACAGCCAUGCUGGUCUCAGAAGUGACUGCCGUGACUGUGGUCACAUCUAAGCCUCACACUCGCAGGGCGGUCACUUGGCAGACGCUUACUUCCGCUUUUCGCUGGGGCUUUCUCUCAUACAGGGCAGUUGUGAGCUGAGACACAGGGGGCUUUCUAAAGCUCCGUUGGUACCAGCUUCAGGUCUUUCAAAGGACACCACACAAUUACAAUAAAGGCCAAUUCAGAUUCGUUGUGUGCGGUAGAGAACCAAACCAGGUUCCUCCUGCAAGCUACGCAUGCACUUUACCACGGGGCUGAACUCCAGCCUGAAGGCUGUGUCCGUCUAUAAACAACCCCUCAGCUUCACUAAACACCUGGACAUAACAGCGUGAUGUGCUUACAUUAAGAGACGGUAAAAAAACAAAGGUAGUACAAAACUGAAGAAAACCCGAGUAUUUUACACUUUCACUCAACUAAAUGCAUGGCUUUACCUCCUUCCUUGCUUUUGGGGUAAGAGGACUGCCAGACUUAUGUCAAUUUUAUGUUGUUGUUCUGAAAAACGUUACUUAAAGCAGGACAUUUGAAGUCUAUUACUCAUAUGUUUAAUUUUGUGUUUAAGCACUGUAACGUGUCGACCACAGAGGUCCACUCUGGGAAUUGCUUUCCGCCUUCUAUCAGGUGGGCUGCAGGAGUGACCUCAGGCGGACAGGUGUAUGGCAAGCUCUCUGGCCAGCCUUUGAAGCAAGUUUGAUCUUACUGUUCACAGGCCACCAAGAUUAAAACUGCCUCAUGUUUAAAGUCUAGUCGGCGUUGCCUCCUGUCCAGUUGUCCAGGGAUAUUACUGUUAUAAUUGUUUAAAGAGAGUUGGUGCAUGUAUAUGUGGACCAUGUGCAUGCAGUGCCCAUAAAGGCCAGAGGAAGGACCUCACUGAAGUUGGACUUACAGAGGGUAGGAGUCAUGGGAUGUGGAUGCUGGGAACCACACCCAGGUUCUAUGCAAGAACAGCAGGUGUCUUAACAACCACCACUCUGGUCCCUGAUGUUACCAGUGCAAUAGGAGACCAUCUCAACGUUUUAUUUCAUGAACUCUGAAUGAACCAAUACACAACCUUUCCCAAUGAGCCAGAUAAUGAAUUUCCUUGUUCAUGCACAGUACCUGGCAAGGUUUCUCACAGAGCAUCAGCUCACUAUCUAGGAAGUUCAUGCUGAAACUCACCACUGGGUCUGUAGGAUGAAAAAUAUUUAGUAAGCGGUUACAGAUCUCUCUAGGUAAAAUGUGGUCUUGACUUCCGGUAUUUCCUGGUCGGAUGCCGCGUAAUGCUAAAAAAACUGCUAGCGGAGAUCCCAUACAGAAGAAAUUCUCAACCUAAAAUGAAAAAAAGGCCAUCCUAAAUUUAGCAAAAGCUGGAGUGUUAUUUUCAAUAGAAUCUGAGGAUAACAUGUUAUAUAAUAAAGUAUAAACAAUAACAUCACCUCUAAGUACAUUUGCCUACAUUACACUAACUAUGGCCAUCAGCUAUCUUAUAAUAAUUUGAUUAAUUUAAAACAUAACAAGUUAAAGCUGAGGAAAGGAGACGGUGAGGAGAAGCAUGCCACUGUUUUCUAUCUUAGACAGGCACACAUUGAACCAGGAUGUGUGUGACGGAUCAAGAUCACUGCUGUUCCCAAGAAGGGGGAGCCUCCAACUCUGAGGGUUUUACAGAGGUGCAGCAGGCCAAGGCCGGUACAAGACAGUGAGGAUUUCUACAGCGCAGGCUAGGGCAUCAGUGCUGGGGACAAGACUGAUACUCAUGUAGUCUAAAGCAGAGAGACAGGUACUGGAGGAUGUUUGAGAAAAUAGAUAAGACAGAAAGUCUGGGUGUAGGAGAAAGUCUACAUGGGAUGACAACAUUCAGAUCUCACUCUUUAAGUAACAUCGGACUCUUAAGGAAUAUAGUCUUAAUUCAGAACAGAACUUAACCCAUAUUUGGGGAGGCUUAACCUGGUAGUAGUGUGUGGACAUUCCCCAAAAUUGGGAUACUACUGAUUUGGGGGGGGGGACUCUCUUAAAAUAAACAAGGCAAGCAACAGUCCCAAGGAGGGCAGCACAGCUGUCACCCAUUGGGGACAUGCGAGCAUGGAAGCUGGCCACGGUUCCUGGAAGGAGAUGGAUGAGAACAACUUCUGGAGUGUGCACUUCCACUGUCGCUAAGCCUUAUUUCUGCUCAUAAGUUCAAGAUCUCUGUAGUAUGUGGCCGAGCAGGGGUACAGAACUGUAUCUUUCCCCAUCUACAACUACAUCCCCAUCCCCAUCCGGGUAGUGGCAAGAAAGUGAAUGAGCCGGCCUGGCUGUGCUCAGAACAUGGACAGUUCUACAUUUAGUCAGCAGGAGGAAGGGGACUCUAGAAGACAGGGUGAAAGAAAGACCCAGAAAAAAAGGCAUCAUGCAAGUCAGAUUCUAAUCUUAAUAUCCCAUCACAUCUCCUUAACUAUAUUGUGACUGUCUUGGCCUCCAACUUUGUACACCCGUAACUCUUUCCAAAAAGACCACAGAUUGACUUUUUAGAAUGAAGCAACACACAUGAAUAUUUAUUUUGAAUGAAUAUUCUGAAAUGGUGCCUUCAUGUUCCUGAACCUGGAGCUCUGGUAUAUGCUACCACCUAGCUGUGCCCAGCCCAAGGAAAAGCACUGCAAAGAAUGGACACAGAGGAUAUAAUCCAGCUCUCCUAUAAAGUCAGAAGGGCUGGAGGAAGGAGAAAAAUCAAGCCACACACGUGGCUCAUGUCUGUACUCCCAACACUCAUGAGACUGAGGCAGGACUGGGACUUUGAGGCCAGCCUAGGCCACACAGUAAUUUCGAAAUUAGCCUAGUCUACUUGGCAAGACUCUGCCUCAAAAGAUAAAGAAGGGUGAGGGAUUGGCUCAGUGGGUAAGAGCACUCACUCUUUAAGCAGAAGGACCUAAAUGUUAAUCUCCCGAAUUCAUGUAAAAAAGUAAACCCCGGGUGUGGUUAUACAAGCCUGUAGCCCCAGAGUAGUGGGGCAGCAGCAGGAUUCUGAAAUCCUACAAGCCAGCCAUCCAGUCAAAAUAGCAUGAGAGAAUCUGUCUUAGGGCAACAAGGCAGGAGACAAAGGAAGACAUCUGGCUUUGUGCUCUGAUCUCUUAUGUAGGCUGGGCAAACACCUGCACACUCAAGUGCAGGCACCAGACACAUACACACUCAUGUACACACCCACAUACAUACUCACACUCUCACACCAGCCUCCCCGCAACAUACCAAAAAUAGGUGAGAAGAGAAAGUUAUGACAUUCUAUGCAAAAUGCUUCCUGACUGGCUAGUCCCUGCCUAACUAUGAAAAUUGGUCCUCUCAUAUCGUACCGCUUAUGAUGGCUGCUGCGUGACAAGCAUGCAGAGGCACUGUUCUCUCACAGAGGCUAGACUGCUUUACUUAUAACCGUAAGAUAAUUAGAAGAUUGAAAAAUAAUUGAUUGUGUACAUGUAUGAUCUGUAUGUGUGUGUAGGGGCAUGUGUGUACACAUGAGGAGGUCAGAGGACAGUUGUAUAACGUUCACUACCUGAAUGUGGGUUGUAGGGAUUGAAGUCAGCCCUGCCGAGCCAUCUCGGCAUCAAAGAUUUUUGAAAACAGGAAGGUUAGGUGUUGAGUGUAGCCCCCGAUUUACUCAGACAUGAGUAAACAGCUUGGCUAACAUCACUAACAGACAGGACAAAACCACAGGCAAACCAACGUGUAACUGUGUGCCUCACACGCUGACACUUGUCAGUGCUCUCAAAAGUCGGCUGAGACAGGAUGGACAGCAGCAUUCUCAAGUCAGGCAUCUGAUGGCUAUCCACAUGGAGAACCCUCUGCUCUCCUCUGACCCCUUAGGUCCCAAGCAUGACUCAUCCGGUUCUUAGAUACUCCUCUUUAAUCUGGACUUCUGUUCUCCUCUCAAUACAAUGAGAGGUCUUUAUUAAGCUACGUAUGGCUUGUAUCAGAAGAAGCUCAACUACAGUGCAGACUCUAAUCACGUGGUACCAAAGCUAUGGCCAUAAUAAACAUGCGUUCUAAUUCUCUAGUGAGAAGUUUACUUUACUUACCAGAUACAUUAACAGUUUUAGCAUUAAUUACACAUGGCAGUGUUGGUACAGCUGGAGUUCACAGUAGAUCAGGAUAACCCUGAGAUCAUAUUCUUUAAGUGCACGUUUCAAAUGAACCAUUUCAUCCCCUGGGCAGUCCUAGGCCUGGGGCUUGUGCGUGCUGGCCAAGGACUUGCCGUCAACAAUGAGCUUUUUAAAUGUGUAAGUUAAAAGACAAACUGUGUGGGGAGCUGGAGAGAUGGCUUAGUGCUUAAGAGCACCUACUUUUUUACAGAGCGCCCCAGUUCAGUUCCCAGCACCCACAGAAAGCUCUGGUACCAGACAUGGCCUCAGCAGGCACUAGGCACACGUGUGGUUUACACAAAGACACUCCCUAUACUCACAAAAAUAACAGUUACAGAACUGCAGGCCAGAGGGUCAGUGUAGUUCUUUCCUCUAUCAUCCAUGCUUUAUUAACCCACAUUAAGGUCCUGUAGGAGAGACACAGCAGGAGCAGGAAUGUGGCGCACUGGCUCAGCAGAGAUUAAGGGUGAGAGGCCAUGCCAUCUUGUAUCUACGACGCAGGUAAGAACGCCUUCGUCCUGAGUGCGGUCAGUGCUGACACCCGAUCCUUCACUCGAGCACUGUCUAAAGGAGUCUAAUGACUGCUUUCACUCUGUCCCUGGCAAGAGAAGGCACUUCUCCUCUCAGCCCUGACAAGUCCUGAAAAUGGCAGCCAAGUUGAGCCUGCGAGCCGUGUCUUGGGAGAUGCCAGACUGUGUGCGCUGACGCUGCUCCUGCUCACCCUCGUUAUCUGCGUGCUGCGGACCCAGCUUCUAAUUUCAGUCAUGAGACAACCAAACUCUCCCGUCUACUACUCAACGCUCUUCACCUGAAUGCUUAAACUGGCAUUCGCUCUUGUGCUCUAUGACUGGGCGACUCAGGGGUGACACGCAUGAAGGCCUGGCAUCCUUCACUGACAGCUUAGAGCAGGACAAACGAUGCUGAAGCUAAGGGCGCUACUGGAACGGCAGUGAGUCUGAUGCGAUCUUCUGGUGAUGGGAUACACACUUUGUGACUCCCACACGCAUCAGAGUCACUGGCACUGCCAAGGGCAGACUGCUGUGCUCAACCUCUGACUUCUUGACUCAGGCUCUGGAGGCCCCAGGAGCUUGCAUCUGUACCGAGCUCCUGGAGAAUGUUGCCACUGCUGGCCUGGGAACUCUACCUUAGGGACUACCAGUUCCAGGACAAAUGGACACUAAAGCCUUCAGACAGACUGCAGGUGACUCUCAGGUAGGAUUGGGCUGUGUGUGGGAUAUCAAUCCGCACGCACUUCUCUGAGAGCUGUAAGUAGUUCUCUAGAGUAAGCUUCUAUGCUAUCAGCCAUCCAAAACAAGACAAAACAAAACCCAACUUCCUUACUUAUAAGCCACGCAACAGUUCCAGCAAAGGUGCACAUCAGUGUGUUGCCUGGGAUUGACCCCAGGACUUUGUGCUUGCUAGGGGAAGUGAGACACUGACCUAGCUCUGUGGUAUCAUUGAAGGUCUUUGUGGUUUAAACCAUGCAGACAUGUAUGUACUUUGGUAUACUGGCAAAAAAGCACACGAUUUUCAUGUUUUUAAAAAAAAACGUAACCCUCUAAAAGUGUGAAGUGAGAAGGACUAGCUGGAAACAGCCCUGUCCCUCUAACCCAGGUUCUCCUGUAGCCAUUAAGAAAGCUACACUUUUCCCUUGAGAAUCUCCAUCUCAGAGUCAAGAGACCAAGAGGUGACCUAAAUUAACUGCUGUGGAGAUGAGAGUGCACCUCUGUGGGUGGUAGCUUUUGCAUCUACACGGUCUCUUGUUUCCACGUUGAAGGAGUGUCCACUCUUUGAACGCAGCUUUGCAACUACAAAGGUCUCAUCACAGCGAACACGCAUGCCCCUUCAGUCCCUGAUCACCAACUCACUUCUAUGUUAGAGAGUAACACCAGAGAUUAAUGUUUUAGGAGGCUUUAAUAUUUUAUGAGUGUUGUUUGGAUGUAUGUCUGUGUAGCACAUGUGCCUGGAGGAGGUCAGAGGAGAAAGUUAUGAUGCCCUAGAACUGGAGUCAGGAUGGCUCUGAGCCACCAUGCGGGUGCUGGGGACUGAACCAGGGUCCUCUGCAAGAAUAACAAGCGCUCUUGGCUGCUGAGCCAUCUCCCCGGCUCCAGCCCAGGGAUUUACCUUACAGACUUUCCUUCUGUAAACAAACAAGAGCACUUUAGCCCCUCUCAGUAUGAACUCCUUUGGUUCUUCACAGUGCCUGGAGAAGCACUACUCAGAACUCCCUGAUGGGAUCACCUAGGAGAACUGUUCAUUUAAAAUAUAAACACGGCUUCAUUUCAGACCAAGUCACAACCUCUAGGGGAUGGAAAACGGUUUUUCCCUGUUAACUUUGAUAUUUUGUUUCCUCAACCUUUUAUUCAAAAAUAACUUGAAAAAUAUAAAACAUCACAAAGUAAACCAAAGGUCUGGGCUGGAGCCCACCCGCUGCUCUUCGGAGGACCCAUGUUCAGCAGGCUGGCAUACUGCAGCCUGCUGACUCGAGCUCCCUGGGACUCCACGGGCCUUGGGCUCACACGCACAUUCCCCUCCUCAAUACAGAACUUAUGGAACCACACAUUAUGCCUCUCUAGUUUUCUUUUGUUAACGUUUAUCACAUUUGUGUUCUUUCUGCUUCUACAAAUAUGCAAACAUACACCUUCCCCAAAUGUGUGGUAAUUACUUGAGGAAUUUAGCACAUACACUGUCUUCUUUUAUUCCUUAACACCCCCCUGUAUACUCGUACACUCCCUUGAGUCAGGAGCAUUUCUAGUUUAAUUAUCCACUAUUUGGAUCUAUUUUAUCUAAUCUACAACCCACAACCCAACUCUUGUCCUCCUUCCCUGCAGCUUCCUGCUCUCCUCCAGCACAGCAGAGGAGAAGAUACAGAAUCUAUCAGAUCUCUUCAGCUCCUGUUCUCGGGAAUUCUUCCUCUAACUACUGUCCUUAUGACACUUAUGGUUUGAAAGAAUUCGGCCCUCGUCCUGGUCCUUAUUUUGUGUUUCUCAGGUAUCUCUCGAUAUCACGAUGCCACACAGGGGCUGGCGCAUCCUUCACAGGGCAUCACAUCUAAAGGCUUACAGUGUCCACUUGUCCCUUGGGAAAACCCAAUAUAGACACUGCCUGAUUUCUCCUGUGUGUAAUUAUAGCUCUCCUUUAUGGACCAGUGAGCAGUCUACAGGGAUGAAGUCUAAGACCAGGCAAUUAGUCUGCUCCUAAAUAAAACACUGCCCCCAAGUCAAUGUUCCCUGAUGAUUCAUGUCCAGCGUCUGUGUACCCAGCACUACCAUGACAGCUGCAAAAGUGAUUUCCAACCCCAGUCAGCGCCACUGUUCCAAAAGCAAGGGGCCUAUCGGCUUCCCACUUACUUUUUAAUGUGAAUGUAAGAUUGAAAAUCACCUGCCCUCCUUUACUGCACUGUCACUACUCUACCCCACACUAAAAGUAGUGAUGAUUCCUGUAGUGACAGUGAACGACCUGGGUGCCCAACAGGUUCAGAUCCAGGCAACUGGCUCCUACCCUUGCCACCUCCACUGACAUCUGAACAUUUCUUUAGCUUAUGUCAUAAACUAUCUAUGUUUUGGUCUCUGGAUCAGCUACACUCACAGGGAUUGGUAAUUUUUCUCUUGGUACUACAAACGUCAGAUGUUAGGUGUGCUCAUUGUGAUAAGAGGUAUUUUUGUUUCUUAGCUAUUUUAGUGUAAAUGACUGGGAAAUGUAUGCGUGUAUGUAAACAUAGUCACCUGUACACACAUACACACGGAUUAAUAUAUAUACACACACAUACAUACACAUAUAUGUGUAUAUAUUAUACCUAUAAACACAUUUUACAAAUUAUGAGUUCAGAAUGAUACCUUCAUUUCUAAUCUCUACCCACAAUAGGCUCAUACAUAUUUAUUUAUACAUUAUAUACUAUAUUAUUUCUUUUCAUUAUUAUAUCAUUUUUCGAGAUAGGGUUGACUCUGUAGUUCAGACUGGCCUUGAACUCACGGCCACCUUUCUGCCUUAGUCGCUGAGUGUUGGGAAUACAGGUGCGCACACCAUGAACCUCUUGUGUUGUUGUGAGACAAGGUCUCACUGUGUAGCUCUCUUCCGAGUGUGGGACUGAAGGUGUGCCCUGCCGGUUCUGGCCUUUCUUUCUCUGUGUUUUUAAGGAACACCAAGUGGUUGGUCCAGGCCCGGCCCGCCUGGGAAGCCCUUGCUCUGAGGCUGAGGAAUCCACUAUGAGAAGGCACGGGCCUGCUGCACUGGAAGGCACAGCGAACACGACAAGCUGGUCAGGCCACCUACC